rnacentral:rRNA from 1 species
GUUAUAUGGUCAAGCGAAUAAGCGCACACGGUGGAUGCCUUGGCGGUCAGAGGCGAUGAAGGACGUGGCAGCCUGCGAAAAGUAUCGGGGAGCUGGCAACAAGCUUUGAUCCGGUAAUGUCCGAAUGGGGAAACCCACCCGCUUGCGGGUAUCCUGCAGUGAAUACAUAGCUGCUGGAAGCGAACCUGGUGAACUGAAAUAUCUAAGUAACCAGAGGAAAAGAAAUCAACCGAGAUUCCGUAAGUAGCGACGAGCGAACGCGGACUAGCCCUUAAGCUGAUUUGGUUCUAGGAAAACGCUCUGGAAAGAGCGGCCAUAGAAGGUGAUAGCCCUGUAUCUGAAAGGGCCAUUUCAGUGAAGACGAGUAGGGCGGGGCACGUGAAACCCUGUCUGAACAUGGGGGGACCAUCCUCCAAGGCUAAAUACUACUGACCGACCGAUAGUGAACCAGUACCGUGAGGGAAAGGCGAAAAGAACCCCGGAGAGGGGAGUGAAAUAGAUCCUGAAACCGUGUGCGUACAAGCAGUAGGAGCUCCGCAAGGAGUGACUGCGUACCUUUUGUAUAAUGGGUCAGCGACUUACUGUUCGUGGCAAGCUUAACCGUAUAGGGGAGGCGAAGGGAAACCGAGUCUGAUAAGGGCGCAUAGUCGCGGGCAGUAGACCCGAAACCGGGUGAUCUAGUCAUGGCCAGGGUGAAGGUGCCGUAACAGGUACUGGAGGCCCGAACCCACGUCUGUUGCAAAAGACGGGGAUGAGCUGUGAUUAGGAGUGAAAAGCUAAUCGAACCCGGAGAUAGCUGGUUCUCCUCGAAAGCUAUUUAGGUAGCGCCUCAUAUGUAUCCUCUCGGGGGUAGAGCACUGUUAUGGCUAGGGGGUCAUCGCGACUUACCAAACCAUUGCAAACUCCGAAUACCGAGACGGACUGUAUGGGAGACACACGGCGGGUGCUAACGUCCGUCGUGAAAAGGGAAACAACCCAGACCCACAGCUAAGGUCCCAAAUUCACUGCUAAGUGGAAAACCAUGUGGAAAGGCACAGACAGCCAGGAGGUUGGCUUAGAAGCAGCCACCCUUUAAAGAAAGCGUAAUAGCUCACUGGUCGAGUCGGUCUGCGGGGAAGAUUUAACGGGGCUAAGCAGUGAACCGAAGCUUGGGGUGUGCAUAUUUAUAUGUACGCGGUAGAGGAGCGUUCCGUAAGCCGUUGAAGGUGGAUUGAGAAGUCUGCUGGAGGUAUCGGAAGUGCGAAUGCUGACAUGAGUAACGAUAAUGCGGGUGAAAAACCCGCACGCCGAAAGCCCAAGGUUUCCUUGCGCAACGUUAAUCGGCGCAGGGUGAGUCGGCCCCUAAGGCGAGGACGAAAGUCGUAGUCGAUGGGAAGCAGGUUAAUAUUCCUGCACCUCGCGUAAGUGCGAUGGAGGGACGGAGAAGGUUAGGUGUACCAGGCGUUGGUUGUCCUGGGGAAAGGCGGUAGGUUUGGAUCUUUGGCAAAUCCGGGAUCCUUUAAGACCGAGCACCGAGACGAGCCUUUAUGGCGAAGUCACUGAUACCACGCUUCCAGGAAAAGCUCCUAAGCUUCAGCUUACGCAGACCGUACCGUAAACCGACACAGGUGGGUAGGAUGAGAAUUCUCAGGCGCUUGAGAGAACUCGGGUGAAGGAACUAGGCAACAUGGCACCGUAACUUCGGGAGAAGGUGCACCCUUUUUGGUGGCUCGUGCGAGCUAUAGCUGAAGAGGGUCGCAGUAACCAGGCCGCUGCGACUGUUUAUCAAAAACACAGCACUCUGCAAACACGAAAGUGGACGUAUAGGGUGUGACGCCUGCCCGGUGCUGGAAGGUUAAUUGAUGGGGUCAGCCGAAAGGCGAAGCUCUUGAUCGAAGCCCCAGUAAACGGCGGCCGUAACUAUAACGGUCCUAAGGUAGCGAAAUUCCUUGUCGGGUAAGUUCCGACCUGCACGAAUGGCGUAACGACAGCGGCGCUGUCUCCACCCGAGACUCAGUGAAAUUGAAAUCGCUGUGAAGAUGCAGCGUUCCCGUGGCAAGACGGAAAGACCCCGUGAACCUUUACUAUAGCUUUACACUGAACGUUGAGUUCGUCUGUGUAGGAUAGGUGGGAGGCUAUGAAACUGUGGCGCUAGCUGCAGUGGAGCCAUCCUUGAAAUACCACCCUGUCGUGCUUGACGUUCUAACCUGGGCCCAUUAUCUGGGUCGGGGACCGUGUAUGGUGGGUAGUUUGACUGGGGCGGUCUCCUCCUAAAGAGUAACGGAGGAGCUCGAAGGUACGCUCAGCGCGGUCGGACAUCGCGCACUGUGUGCAAAGGCAUAAGCGUGCUUGACUGCAAGAUCGACGGAUCAAGCAGGUAGGAAACUAGGACUUAGUGAUCCGGUGGUUCUGUAUGGAAGGGCCAUCGCUCAACGGAUAAAAGGUACUCCGGGGAUAACAGGCUGAUACCGCCCAAGAGUUCAUAUCGACGGCGGUGUUUGGCACCUCGAUGUCGGCUCAUCACAUCCUGGGGCUGUAGUCGGUCCCAAGGGUAUGGCUGUUCGCCAUUUAAAGUGGUACGCGAGCUGGGUUCAGAACGUCGUGAGACAGUUCGGUCCCUAUCUGCCAUGGGCGUUGGAGAUUUGAGAGGGGCUGCUCCUAGUACGAGAGGACCGGAGUGGACGAACCUCUGGUGUUCCGGUUGUCACGCCAGUGGCAUUGCCGGGUAGCUAUGUUCGGAAGCGAUAACCGCUGAAAGCAUCUAAGCGGGAAGCGCGCCUCAAGAUGAGAUCUCCCGGGGCACAAGCCCCCUGAAGGAACCAUAUAGACUAUGUGGUUGAUAGGUCAGGUGUGUAAGUACAGCAAUGUAUUGAGCUAACUGAUACUAAUGAUCCGUGUGGCUUGACCAUAUAACCUCA